GACUUGGCGCACCUGGCCCGCACCGGCUACGGUGUGAGUGCCGGGCUGCGCCUGUCACUUUUCUGGUAAACCAUUGUGCUCUUCACUGAGUGUGAUGGGUAGCCAGAUAUUUUACUUUGAAAAAAUUAGAGUGUUUAAAGCAGGCGUUUGCUAUGAAUACAUUAGCAUGGAAUAAUAACUUAGGACUUCGGUUCUAUUUUGUUGGUUUCUAGGACUGGAGUA
rnacentral:rRNA from 1 species